CGGGUGUGUAACGCGUGGGUAACCUGCCUUAUACUGGGGGAUAACAGCCAGAAAUGACUGCUAAUACCGCAUAAGCGCACAGAACCGCAUGGUUCAGUGUGAAAAACUCCGGUGGUAUAAGAUGGACCCGCGUUGGAUUAGCUAGUUGGCAGGGCAGCGGCCUACCAAGGCGACGAUCCAUAGCCGGCCUGAGAGGGUGAACGGCCACAUUGGGACUGAGACACGGCCCAG
rnacentral:rRNA from 1 species